rnacentral:tRNA from 1 species
GGGAUGUAGCUCAAUGGUAGAGCACUUGCCUAGCCCUAGCACGAGAAAGGCCCUGGGUUCAAUUCCCAGUACCAUUCCC